GUUGCGGCGUGACCAAGGGGCGGCAGCGGGUCUGGGUGCCCACGGGAUCCAUGACCGGCGUGCGAAAAUUGAAGGAGAAGAAGAAGGUUGACCGAUAAUGGAAAUUCUCGUCGGAGACAAAGCGACCGUGGUUGGCUGCUAUGGGCUCCUGCUGCCCUGCUCGGUGCCUUCAUGUUUCUUUAAGUCUGCAGCACUGGUUUCAAAUUAUUGCUCAGACAUUAUUAAUCAAGGAUACGAGUUCAACAAGGCUGAGAGGAUGGAUCCGAGAAGAGCCGGCGGCCCGGUAUGAUGAGCUCCCGGCGACGUUGACCGUCUUGGCCGCUGAAGACAUUGCUGAUUCCAUCGACGCACUCUACCACAAGGACGAGGCCAUGGCUGAACUCAAAUCUGAGGUGAUGGAGGCGCUCGACGACGACAGUUGGAUGUUCGCCGCGUCACGGUCCCGCAUCAACCUUGUCUCCAGUCCUGGUAAGAAGAGAACACAAGAACAGCAAGGUACUGGGAUUCUUCCUCAAAUUAGUUGCAGAACUUGGUUUUCUGGUCAAGUUUUUUAAUCUAUAUACAUAUGGCCUGAGUUUAGUGUUCCUGUUCCUGAUGAAUGAGUUAUGUAUAUUCCUGACAUGGUUGCUACUGAUUUUAUUUGUAUUUCUACCCCCAUUGGGGGCAUGUGUUUAUCAGGUGCUUACCUACCCAAGCAACACGUACGGGAAACUCUCGGAGCUGGGGCAGGCAUCCAAGAAAACAAGGAACUUCUAGGAUGUAGAUGCUUGCGCUUGCAAGAAGCCUCAUCCAUGACUCCAUGAUGGUAGUGAAGGCUAGGAUUCCAUCUAGGCUGCAGCAUCAAGGAUGAUUUGGUCCAGUUUCAAAUCAAUCUGGUUGCUUCCUGCUAAUUCAAUCUCAGGCACAUGUAUGGAUUUUCAAGUGAUUGAGAGGUCAAUGUCAUGGUUGUUGAGCUCCAGCAAAAGCGACACCUUGAGAAAAUGGAAUGACCAGCAUGUAAGGUUAGGGGCCAAAUCACUUGCAAAUGGAACAAUAUGGUUGGAUCAGGUAUCACAAAUGACCAUAAAUAGAAAGCUAAAGAACAUGGCCCAUCUAUUUUCUAAUUGGGUGAAUAUUCUGGUCAUCAUUGGGCAUCUUUGAAUGUGGGUGUUGUAUCGCUGAGGGACCCUGUAGGUUCAUCGAGACUUCUACAGAAAUUGAACUGUAUCCUCUGAAGUGUUGCAAAAUUUCUCAAAAUCUUCUAGGUUCUAAACUGG